AGAGUUUGAUCAUGGCUCAGGAUGAACGCUAGCUACAGGCUUAACACAUGCAAGUCGAGGGGAAACGACAUCGAAAGCUUGCUUUUGAUGGGCGUCGACCGGCGCACGGGUGAGUAACGCGUAUCCAACCUGCCCACCACUUGGGGAUAACCUUGCGAAAGUAAGACUAAUACCCAAUGACGUCUCUAGAAGACAUCUGAAAGAGAUUAAAGAUUUAUCGGUGAUGGAUGGGGAUGCGUCUGAUUAGCUUGUUGGCGGGGUAACGGCCCACCAAGGCGACGAUCAGUAGGGGUUCUGAGAGGAAGGUCCCCCANAUUGGAACUGGAGACACGGUCCCAAACUCCUAACGGGAGGCA
rnacentral:rRNA from 1 species